rnacentral:sRNA from 1 species
AGAAAUAGGUGGAUAUAAAGUGCCCGUCAAAAAGAUACGUGAGGAUAAAAAGUCUGACUGGGAAAAGUUUGUAACUUCAUCGAGUCGGGCUAAGAAAGAGAGUGUCUCCAAAUAUUUAAGAUUAUCUAGACCAUCACAACGACAUCUGACUCAUCCUAGAAUGUCCAUCCAGUCCAACUUAAGUCCAAGUAGUUCUUCUACACAGGUCAAUAUAAUGGAACAGCCAACAGACAACCAGGGAGAAAAUAUACCAGCAGCAGACAGCAUGUCUGAUGUACCAGAAACAGAUGAAGAUGAGGCUCUGUAUAAAACUAGUGUUUUCAAAUUCCUGGAUGAGUACUACGACAGU